CAAGAUGGCUUUCAAGUUCGGAAAGUGAGAGUGUGGCAGUAAAAAAGUGUGAGUGUGUGGCAACUUGAAAGCAAUUUCUUUCCCGUGUAACGUCCGGGUUAGAGAGAAAUGCACGUACUACAAUGAACCGUUCAAAAACCGCCUCCAUGGCCGCCAUCCAUAUGAAAAAAAAAGUUUAAGUGUGUAGUGUUAAGCCGUACUAUGUUUGACUAGGUGCUGCCGAGGGUUUUAAAGGAAUAUAAUUGCAGAAAAUGUUUUUUGGAAAACCAAACGAGCUGCAAGGCACAUCUGGUGCGUGGAAGCACACACAUGCAAAACCAAAAAUAGAAGCAGAACAAGGAUUAUGCCACUGGAGGCAGAUGGGUGAGUUGAUAAUAUCAAACCACCAGUAUCCGCUGGUGGAAGCUGCGAAAGGGGGAGGCCUCCACUCCAAUGGAAGGACCAGGUGGAGAAGGACCUAGCGCUCGUAGUCUUUUGUGUCAGAAAGUAACAAAAAUCGUGCACCAGAAGUACACACAAAUUAUACAACACAACAAGUAUUUUUGAAAUGCAAAACUAAAACAAAACAAUAAAUUCAGAGUAAAAGUCAAAAUCAUACAACGUAACCGGCAAAUAACAAGCAGUUUCACUACUUAUUUUCGACGUGCUAAACUCAGUGUCUCCGAUGAUGCCCUUGGAUCUACACAAUGGAUAGUUAA